rnacentral:rRNA from 1 species
UAAGUAGAUAGUAAAAUCCUAGGGGCUCAACCCUUUAAAUAUUAUCUAAACUGCUAAGCUAGAAUAUGAGAGAGGUCGCUAGAAUUCCUUGUGUAGGAGUGAAAUCCGUAGAUAUAAGGAGGAAUACCGAUGGCGUAGGCAGGCGACUGGCUCAUUAUUGACACUAAGGCACGAGAGCGUGGUGGCAAACGGGAUUAGAUACCCCGGUAGUCCACGCCGUAAACUAUGGAUGCUA